rnacentral:rRNA from 1 species
AUUGAACGCUGGCGGCAGGCCUAACACAUGCAAGUCGAGCGGAAGGUUCUUCGGAACCGAGAGCGGCGGACGGGUGAGGAAAGCGUGGGAAUCUGCCUGUAGAUGGGGGAUAGCCCGGAGAAAUCCGGAUUAAUAUCGCAUAAUACCUGAGGGUUAAAGUGGAGGGUCGCAAGACUUCACGUCUACAGAUGAGCCCACGUUAGAUUAGCUGGUUGGUGGGGUAAAGGCCCACCAAGGCGACGAUCUAUAGCUGGUCUGAGAGGAUGGCCAGCCACAUUGGGACUGAGACACGGCCCAGACUCCUACGGGAGCAGCAGUCGGGAAUAUGGACAAUGGGCNCAAGCCUGAUCCAGCAAUGCCGCGUGUGUGAAGAAGGCCUGCGGGUUGUAAAGCACUUUCAGUGGGGAAGAACAGAUUCGGGUCAAUACCCCGGAGCCCUGACGUUACCCACAGAAGAAGCACCGGCUAACUCCGUGCCAGCAGCCGCGGUAA